AUUGAACGCUGGCGGCAGGCCUAACACAUGCAAGUCGAGCGGAUGAGAGGAGCUUGCUUCUCGAUUCAGCGGCGGACGGGUGAGUAAUGCCUAGGAAUCUGCCUGGUAGUGGGGGACAACGUUUCGAAAGGAACGCUAAUACCGCAUGCGUCCUACGGGAGAAAGCAGGGGACCUUCGGGCCUUGCGCUAUCAGAUGAGCCUAGGUCGGAUUAGCUAGUUGGUGAGGUAAUGGCUCACCAAGGCGACGAUCCGUAACUGGUCUGAGAGGAUGAUCAGUCACACUGGAACUGGGACACGGUCCAGACUCCUACGGGAGGCAGCAGUGGGGAAUAUUGGACAAUGGGCGAAAGCCUGAUCCAGCCAUGCCCCGUGUGUGAAGAAGGUCUUCGGAUUGUAAAGCACUUUAAGUUGGGAGGAAGGGUUGUAGAUUAAUACUCUGCAAUUUUGACGUUACCGACAGAAUAAGCACCGGCUAACUCUGUGCCAGCCGCCGCAGUAACAC
rnacentral:rRNA from 1 species